UCUUCUUCGCCUCUCCAGAGCUCAAGCGACAAUGGUGAUUCUGAAAGUCCGAAGAGACAAAUCGUCGUCCAGAGACUCCGAAUUACGCUUCGUUACAGUCGUUUUGAGUUCAUUCCUAUCCUUCCAGACGUUUCGACGCCACAUUCAUCGCCUUUAAGAUACAUCUUAACUCCAUCGAGGCUCAUCAAAGACGAUGCCACAUUCAAUGUUACUUUUAUCUGUUCAAGGAGGCUGGCCAGUGUUCUUCCAUGGUGGAGUCCGAUUGCUGAGAUUCGGGGAGGGUGGGUCCAAAUGUCAAGCGUGGUGGGGAGUAGAUGGGGUUGACAUGCUCCUCCUUGAUGCUGAGGCAACACUUAUUCAAGUGUUCAUUGUCUUCCCACUAGCAAGCGACUGGGUUCUAUGUUUUACUUUGAUUCCACUUGGUGUUAUCAAAACUAUAGGCCCUCCGAGGAAGUGAUUUUUAAGUUAUUACAACCACAUUCAGUUUCUCAUGUUCUUUAUCCAUAACACCCUCAUUCAACUUUCCAUCACUUAAGGCUGGUCUCGAGAAACACUGGGAACAACCCAGAUCCUUCAUUGCUGGAGGAUAUGCCAAGGUUGAACCACUGAGCAUAUCUGAGCUGAAUGAGUUCGUCAUCACAGCCGAGCCUCAGGAGAUUGAAUUUGUCUGCACUGGAAUGGUGAGUGAAAUCAAGAUGGACAAAGGCUGGUGUUACGUUUCCUGCUCCAGGUGCACAAGAAUCUCCAAAGAACUGUCUCAUUUUUGACUUGCGUGUCCUGCAACAACACAUGCGUUUUUGGAGUGCUCCGGUAUACUGGAUCAUUUGUUUUUCCCCGUUUUGAAAAUUCUCACAUACAGUCAAAAUGGUUUUCAUACAAUUUAUUACAAGGUACCGGGUGGAGAUGAGCAUUGCUGACGACACAGAUGAGGGUCUAUUUGUGGCUUUCGAUGGAGUACGUAGCAUUAUCUAACGCUGGCAUUGAAGGUUACAAAUGUGUGGAAAUCUCAUCUGCAUGAACAUCCUCCAUUGGUCCUGCCACCAAGAAGCCUCGCCUUUCAACAAUUUUGAAUGUGGUCAAGAAGGUACGAAAGGCUUAAGGGAACAUGACGGAGUUUCUAGAGUCAGUUUUAUUCUUUCAAUUAUGCUUAGCCAUCAAUGUUAUUUUUUUAACUUUGAAUUCUCGAGUCAGAUUUCCUCUUUGAAUAGUGCUUAGGCAUCAAUGUUUUUCUUCUUCAAAUUUUCUCCUCAUCUAGAGUUUGCUAUGUU